rnacentral:rRNA from 1 species
UAGGGAAUAUUGCACAAUGGAGGAAACUCUGAUGCAGCGACGCCGCGUGAGUGAUGAAGGCCUUCGGGUUGUAAAGCUCUGUUCUCAGGGAAAAAGAAAGUGAUGGUACCUGAGAAGAAAGGACCGGCUAACUUCGUGCCAGCAGCCGCGGUAAGACGAGGGGUCCUAGCGUUGUUCGGAAUCAUUGGGCGUAAAGCGGGUGUAGGCGGCCUUAUAAGUCAGAAGUGAAAGCCCCGAGCUUAACUCGGGAAGUGCUUUUGAUACUGUAGGGCUUGAAUGUGGGAGAGGAUGGUGGAAUUCCUGGUGUAGUGGUGAAAUACGUAGAUAUCAGGAGGAACAUCGGUGGCGAAGGCGGCCAUCUGGCCCAACAUUGACGCUCAGACCCGAAAGCGUGGGGAUCAAACA